UGGGGAAUAUUGCACAAUGGGCGCAAGCCUGAUGCAGCCAUGCCGCGUGUGUGAAGAAGGCCUUCGGGUUGUAAAGCACUUUCAGCGGGGAGGAAGGCGGUGAGGUUAAUAACCUCAUCGAUUGACGUUACCCGCAGAAGAAGCACCGGCUAACUCCGUGCCAGCAGCCGCGGUAAUACGGAGGGUGCAAGCGUUAAUCGGAAUUACUGGGCGUAAAGCGCACGCAGGCGGUCUGUCAAGUCGGAUGUGAAAUCCCCGGGCUCAACCUGGGAACUGCAUUCGAAACUGGCAGGCUAGAGUCUUGUAGAGGGGGGUAGAAUUCAAGGUGUAGCGGUGAAAUGGGUAGAGAUCUGGAGGAAUACCGGUGGCGAAGGCGGCCCCCUGGACAAAGACUGACGCUAAGGUGCGAAAGCGUGGGGAGCAAACAGG
rnacentral:rRNA from 1 species